ensembl:lncRNA
AAACAGAGGAAAAAAGAGAAUAACAAGUAAAAAGCAAUGCAUGUAAAUACAGAGCAAGCAAGUAGGAAAGCUAGGCAUAGCACAGCAAAAGAGAGCAAAGCAAAAGAAGGCAAAGAAUGACAAAAAGCAACCUUGCAGGAAUGGAGGAAUCUGUCCAGAGCUGUGCCCCUGCUUGCCACAGGAGCUGCGCGGGAGGAGAAGAACGUGGGCCAAAAGGAAUGGAGGAAUCUGUCCAGAGCUGUGCCCCUGCUUGCCACAGGAGCUGCGCGGGAGGAGAAGAACGUGGGCCAAAAGGAAUGGAGGAAUCUGUCCAGAGCUGUGCCCCUGCUUGCCACAGGAGCUGCGCGGGAGGAGAAGAACGUGGGCCAAAAGGUGUUCCACUUUGGCUUUGUAUGACACAGUGGACGAGAGGGGACGGCGUUCAGUGGAACAAACGCUGCAGACCCUGGGAGAAUCAAAGCAGGAGAGAGGAAACGUGCCCUUUGCAGCAGGGGCCGUUGUGCUGGCAUUGCCCAUCGCAUCCACUGCUGCUGUGGUCCUUUCUUUCCUUUGGGCAGUUUGCUGUCUCUCACGGG